rnacentral:rRNA from 1 species
UACGUAGGUGGCAAGCGUUGUCCGGAUUUAUUGGGUUUAAAGGGUGCGUAGGCGGCCUUGUAAGUCAGUGGUGGAAUAUCUCAGCUUAACUGAGAGGGUGCCAUUGAUACUGCAGGGCUUGAGUACAGAUGAGGUAGGCGGAAUUGACGGUGUAGCGGUGAAAUGCAUAGAUAUCGUCAAGAACUCCGAUAGCGAAGGCAGCUUACCAAGCUGUAACUGACGCUGAGGCACGAAAGUGUGGGGAUCAAACAG